AAACGACUCUCGGCAACGGAUA
rnacentral:siRNA from 1 species